UGGGGAAUUUUGGACAAUGGGGGAAACCCUGAUCCAGCCAUCCCGCGUGUGCGAUGAAGGCCUUCGGGUUGUAAAGCACUUUUGGCAGGAAAGAAACGUCGCGGGUUAAUACCCCGCGAAACUGACGGUACCUGCAGAAUAAGCACCGGCUAACUACGUGCCAGCAGCCGCGGUAAUACGUAGGGUGCAAGCGUUAAUCGGAAUUACUGGGCGUAAAGCGUGCGCAGGCGGUUCGGAAAGAAAGAUGUGAAAUCCCAGAGCUUAACUUUGGAACUGCAUUUUUAACUACCGGGCUAGAGUGUGUCAGAGGGAGGUGGAAUUCCGCGUGUAGCAGUGAAAUGCGUAGAUAUGCGGAGGAACACCGAUGGCGAAGGCAGCCUCCUGGGAUAACACUGACGCUCAUGCACGAAAGCGUGGGGAGCAAACAGGAUUAGAUACCCUGGUAGUCCACGCCCUAAACGAUGUCAACUAGCUGUUGGGGCCUUCGGGCCUUGGUAGCGCAGCUAACGCGUGAAGUUGACCGCCUGGGGAGUACGGUCGCAAGAUUAAAAACUUAAAUGAAUU
rnacentral:rRNA from 1 species